rnacentral:rRNA from 1 species
CACGUAGGGCGCAAGCGUUGUCCGGAAUUAUUGGGCGUAAAGAGCUCGUAGGCGGUCUGUUGCGUCCGCUGUGAAAACUCGGGGCUUAACCCCAAGCCUGCACUGGAUACUGCCGAGCUAGAGUCCGGGAGGGGAGAGCGGAAUUCCUAGUGUAGCGGUGAAAUGCGCAGAUAUUAGGAAGAACACCGGUGGCGAAGGCGGCUCUCUGGAACGGUACUGACGCUGAGACGCGAAAGCGUGGGGAGCGAACAGG